AGAGUUUGAUCCUGGCUCAGGACGAACGCUGGCGGCGUGCUUAACACAUGCAAGUCGAACGAUGACGAUGGUGCUUGCACCGUCUGAUUAGUGGCGAACGGGUGAGUAACACGUGAGUAACCUGCCCUCCUCUUCGGGAUAACCGCCGGAAACGGUGGCUAAUACCGGAUAUGAAUGCCUGCCGCAUGGUGGGUGUUGGAAAGAUUUAUCGGUGGGGGAUGGACUCGCGGCCUAUCAGUUUGUUGGUGAGGUAAUGGCUCACCAAGGCGAUGACGGGUAGCCGGCCUGAGAGGGCGACCGGCCACACUGGGACUGAGACACGGCCCAGACUCCUACGGGAGGCAGCAGUGGGGAAUAUUGCACAAUGGGCGAAAGCCUGAUGCAGCGACGCCGCGUGGGGGAUGACGGCCUUCGGGUUGUGAACCUCUUUCANUAGGGAAGAAGCGAGAGUGACGGUACCUGCAGAAGAAGCGCCGGCUAACUACGUGCCAGCAGCCGCGGUAAUACGUAGGGCGCAAGCGUUGUCCGGAAUUAUUGGGCGUAAAGAGCUUGUAGGUGGCUUGUCGCGUCUGCCGUGAAAACCCGAGGCUCAACCUCGGGCGUGCGGUGGGUAC
rnacentral:rRNA from 1 species